rnacentral:ncRNA from 2 species
ACGGCUCCUACCCGUGUGGAUUUUAUUUUGUUGUUCAAAUGUUCAGGGAAUCCCGUAGAAACGGGAGCUGCCCCGCAACUGUAACCGGCGACAAACGCUGCACAAUGCCACGGGAAAGCCGUUUCAACGGUUGAAACCGUUGAAACGGCUUUCCGGGAAGGCGCAGAAAGUAGGAAGACCCGGAAGCCAGGAGACCUGUUUGAACAUGAAUUUGUCA